AUGUCUCUCGCCGGCUGCAGCGGCGACGGUGGCGCGGCGGCGGCGACGUGGACGCCACCGUACUGCACCAUCGUGGCGGCCGACACGUCCGACUUCUCCUACCUCUCCUGCCCGGCCUGCGGCCGCCGCACGCUCCCGGGCCACCCCGAGGGCGCACCCUGCGGGGCCUGCGGCGGCCCCGCCCCGGCGCGCGCCUACCGGCUGCUCCUCUCCGUGGCCACCCACGACCGCGUCUUCCCCGUCGUCCUCUUCGACCGCGCCGCGCGCGCCCUGCUCGGCUGCUCCGCCGACGAGCUCGCGCGCCUCUUCGCCGGGGAGAUGUGCCGCCUGGCGCUGCGCGAGCCCACCAAGGACGGCGCCGAGCACCUCCGCGCCGUCUCUGUCGUGCCGCUCCGCGACGGGUUCCGCCCGGUCGUCGACACCCUCAGGACGCUCUACUCGCGCGCCGGCGGCUGA
rnacentral:rRNA from 1 species